UUGAAUGAAAUGAAUGUAGCUGGUUUAUUGUACAUACCAUAGAAAAAUGUAGCAAAUAUGAUUGCGAAAUGGACGACCAACUCUGUCAUAUCGACUGAUCUAUAUUUCCUUAGUAUGUCAUGUGUAAAGUUUUCUGCUUAUUUUUUGGGGAAUAUUGUGUCACAUCAGUUUAUGUUAUAUCUAUUUUGCAUUUCAGGCUUGGCUGGCAUUUAGGAAGUACUUCGUAACUAAUAUGCCAUCUGAUUUGACUCCGAUUUAUAAGCCCAUAUACAAAGUUUGUAAUAGUGUUCCUCAGCAGAUCCUAAACCUGGCACAUAAUAAGAAUGAGAUACAUAUAAGAGUUUGUUCUCAUUGACAAGUUCACAAAACGAGUUUAGCAUUUGCAUGCUGUAGCAUUCCAGGAAGUUAGAGAUGGGACGAAGGUUAACUACGAGGAUGCAUGGACAUUAAUUUGUGUCAUUCCACACAUCUGAAAGUGCAGACGCGAUAGCGAGAGCUUUUGAUCUUGGUAUUAGCGUCAAGAUGCUAUCAGAAUCAAGUAUGGGACCUGGUAAAGGUGUAAUUGGUGGCCCUGCUCUGAAGAAGGCAGUAGGAGCAACAACCAGCUAAAUGGUGCGACUCCGAUUAUUACUUUUAGUGAAUCAGCUUAACGUGUACAAGUUUUUAUGUAUUUUGGAUAUCACAUUUUUUUUUGUGGGGAUUUGGAUCACAGUUGAUGUGAAGUAAGAAAU